GUGUUGCAGGUGAUCUGCAUUUCACACAUCACUUUGUUAUGAGUCUCAUUGUCAGCCUGGAUUCUCAGCAUUCAUUGUUCUCAUUGUCUUUCUGGGUUCAAGGAAAGGACUUACAUAAUUUAUCAGUUAGUCUAAAACAAACAGCAAUAAAAGAGGCAAAAGCAGCGAUUGCACCCUACUGACUAGCUACGCUUUGGAAUUUCACAAUCAGCAUAUUUAGGGAGCUUUCUGAACACCAGUGAGACAUAUACUACAAUGUCACUGCCACACAGCCUCAUCUCUCUUUCCAGCACAGGUUCAGCAGUAGUAAGUGGCAGUACAAGAUGCCCACAAAUGUGUCACCAAUCAAUUUUUAUACCAUAAUGUGUGGAAUAGAGUAUCAAAGUUGAGACAAUAAAAAAUCACUCAUUAAACCUGUUAAAUCUUAGCAUACACAGGACUAUUCACAUGGGAGGAUUUUUGGGAAAGGUAGGCUAGCGACCAGAGAGAGCACUAAACCCCUUGUCAUUCAGAACAUAACAACACAAGAAGGAAAUCUCAUGGCAUUCUGAAACAAGGCUGAAAUUGAGCUGGAAGCCAGUCACACAACAGAUGAAAGUGGUCAGACAAAAAGGGAUAAAUCUUUUUCAGCAAUGUCCCUACUGAAUAUAACUACUGUGUGCAUGAACCUGAAAGAAAAAAGAAAACAAGAUAAAUUCUUGUUUUACUUAUUUUUGCCUCGCCCCUCUUUCCCCCUUCCUCUUCCCCCCCACCUCCCUACCUCCCCUGGAAAACUGGAAGGGAGAGGUACUUCUCCAUUUAUACUGAAGCUCGUAUGUAUAUGUAUGUAUACAGAAUCUAUCCAUGCCACAGUGCGAUGUGCUUUUUACUCCUUCUGCUUUUAUAUUUUACCCAGUGUAAGCCUACAGGUAAUCACUUUAAAUUGCCAUGAGGUGAAUGCUGUGAUAACUUACCUUCUCAACAGAAAGCUCAUGUACUCUUAGCGUUUCCAGUAUGGAAUAUACAUUUAUUGGUCUAUCAUCAACAAGAUGUGUGUUUCUCCAAGAGACUGGAAGUUCUUCAAAAGUAACUACAGCUUGAAAUAUUAUAAAUAAUAUUUAUGUGUAGAGGGUGUGGGGGAUGGGGAAAGCAAGGAUUUAAGGAUGUAUCUGGAAAUAACUGAACCUCACAAUGAUGUGACUAUCAAUGCAAAAAUUGUCUUGGAAGUAACACUGCACUGUGUCAAAUCAUUAUGUAGACUUAUAGGAUGGAUUCACAUAAUCUAAUAGUAUGCAUUGAUGAUGUAGAUAUCUGAAGUUCUCUGUGCACUUUAAGGAGAGAAAUAAGCACUUCAACUCACCUACUGUAGAUAUUUCUCUUAGAACAAGAGGAAAAGUCUUCCACUCUGUCAACCAGCAAAGGAAUCUUAGGGGAAUGGAUAGCAUGAGGCAAGCUUAGUUGGCCUUAAGAGUCACUCAAGAAACAUGUAAGGGGUCUGUAAAUUC
rnacentral:lncRNA from 1 species